CUUACAAGUGGGGCAGCACACGGGCAGUGGCUGAUGGAGGAGAGGGGAGGCAUCAGAAGAGAUGCUAUGAUGGAAUCUGCAGUCGCAGUAGCAGCAGUGGUGCCAGGGCCCAGGCUGUCAACCUUCCCCAGGCGCUCAGAUCGGUGUGUGACACGGAAGACAGCCGGACGCGCGAGUUGAGUCUCCUCGGGAAGCAUCACUCUGGCUGCUGAGUGGAAAGGAGAUUUUAAGACUGCUGUUGGGGAAGGAGGAAGACCAGUUGGGAGGCUGCUGCAUCUUCAGCUCCCGAUUACUCAUGGCUUCAGACUUCCAUCAAUUUAAUAAAAACAAAACAAUGGAGUGAAGACUGAAAAAUUACCUAUUGAGUACCAUGUUCACUGUUUGGAUGAUGGGUACACUGAAAACCCAGACUUCAUCAGCAUGCAGUAUAUGCAUCUAAAAGCUCUGCACUAAAUAUUUGUGAAAAAGAAGACAA